rnacentral:rRNA from 1 species
UUGAAACUGCAUGGCUUGAGUGCAGGAGAGGUUAUCGGAAUUCCCGGUGUAGCGGUGAAAUGCGUAGAGAUCGGGAGGAACACCAGUGGCGAAGGCGGGUAACUGGACUGCAACUGACGCUGAGGUACGAAAGCGUGGGUAGCAAACAGGAUUAGAUACCCUGGUAGUCCACGCCGUAAACGAUGAGCACUAGGUGUCGGGGUCGCAAGGCUUCGGUGCCGCAGUUAACGCAUUAAGUGCUCCGCCUGGGGAGUACGCACGCAAGUGUGAAACUCAAAGGAAUUGACGGGGACCCGCACAAGCAGCGGAGCAUGUGGCUUAAUUCGAUGCAACGCGAAGAACCUUACCAGGUCUUGACAUCCAAUUAAAACUGAUGAAAGUCAGCGUACUCUUCGGAGUAAAUUGAGACAGGUGGUGCAUGGUUGUCGUCAGCUCGUGUCGUGAGAUGUUGGGUUAAGUCCCGCAACGAGCGCAAC